UACAGAGGUCUCAAGCGUUGUUCGGAUUCAUUGGGCGUAAAGGGUGCGUAGGCGGCGCGGUAAGUCGGGUGUGAAAUCUCGGAGCUUAACUCCGAAACUGCAUUCGAUACUGCCGUGCUUGAGGACUGGAGAGGAGACUGGAAUUUACGGUGUAGCGGUGAAAUGCGUAGAGAUCAGGAGGAACACCGGUGGCGAAGGCGGCAUCCUGGACCGACACUGACGCUGAGGCGCGAAAGCUAGGGUAGCAAACAGG
rnacentral:rRNA from 1 species